GUAGUCUAGGACAGGUCAGUUCCAGACAGACAGACAGGUUGUGUAGUCUAGGACAGGUCAGUUCCAGACAGACAGACAGACAGGUUGUGUAGUCUAGGACAGGUCAGUGACAGACAGACAGACAGGUUGUGUAGUCUAGGACAGGUCAGUUCCAGACAGACAGACAGACAGGUUGUGUAGUCUAGGACAGGUCAGUUCCAGACAGACAGACAGGUUGUGUAGUCUAGGACAGGUCCGUUCCAGACAGACAGUCUAGGACAGGUCAACGACAGACAGGCUGUGUAGUGACAGACAGCUGAUAUGAACAGUGAUUAGAGUGUAGUAAUAACAAUAGAAAAGAUGAUUACGACAGUGACAUUAAAGACCAACAUUUAUCCCCCGUUAACCACAGUCCUGGAAUCAGAUGUUAACUCCUGUCUCUACAUAGUGGAGGUUAGGGACCCCCGUUAACCACAGUCCUGGAAUCAGAUGUUAACUCCUGUCUCUACAUAGUGGAGGUUAGACCCCCGUUAACCACAGUCCUGGAAUCAGAUGUUAACUCCUGUCUCUACAUAGUGGAGGUUAGACCCCCGUUAACCACAGUCCUGGAAUCAGAUGUUAACUCCUGUCUCUACAUAGUGGAGGUUAGGGACCCCCUGUUAACCACAGUCCUGGAAUCAGAUGUUAACUCCUGUCUACAUAGUGGAGGUUAGACCCCCGUUAACCACAGUCCUGGAAUCAGAUGUUAACUCCUGUCUCUACAUAGUGGAGGUUAGGACCCCCCGUUAACCACAGUCCUGGAAUCAGAUGUUAACUCCUGUCUCUACAUAGUGGAGGUUAGGACCCCCGUUAACCACAGUCCUGGAAUCAGAUGUUAACUCCUGUCUACAUAGUGGAGGUUAGGACCCCCGUUAACCACAGUCCUGGAAUCAGAUGUUAACUCCUG
rnacentral:lncRNA from 1 species